rnacentral:rRNA from 1 species
GAUGAACGCUGGCGGCGUGCCUAACACAUGCAAGUCGAGCGAGGGUUUGCUCAGUAUUGAGUAUUCUAACAACUAGAAUGUUCAAUUCUGAGCAAAACCAAGCGGCGGACGGGUGAGUAACGCGUGGGUAACCUGCCCUAUACACAUGGAUAACAUACUGAAAAGUUUACUAAUACAUGAUAAUAUAUAUUUGCGGCAUCGCAGAUAUAUCAAAGUGUUAGCGGUAUAGGAUGGACCCGCGUCUGAUUAGCUAGUUGGUGAGAUAACUGCCCACCAAGGCGACGAUCAGUAGCCGACCUGAGAGGGUGAUCGGCCACAUUGGAACUGAGACACGGUCCAAACUCCUACGGGAGGCAGCAGUGGGGAAUAUUGCACAAUGGGCGAAAGCCUGAUGCAGCAACGCCGCGUGAACGAUGAAGGUCUUCGGAUCGUAAAGUUCUGUUGCAGGGGAAGAUAAUGACGGUACCCUGUGA